rnacentral:rRNA from 1 species
AUAACUGGCGGCGGCUUACCAUGCAAGUCGAGCGGAAACGAUGAUAGCUUGCUAUCAGGCGUCGAGCGGCGGACGGGUGAGUAAUACUUAGGAAUCUACCUAGUAGUGGGGGAUAGCUCGGGGAAACUCGAAUUAAUACCGCAUACGACCUACGGGAGAAAGGGGGCAACUUGUUGCUCUCGCUAUUAGAUGAGCCUAAGUCGGAUUAGCUAGAUGGUGGGGUAAAGGCCUACCAUGGCGACGAUCUGUAGCUGGUCUGAGAGGAUGAUCAGCCACACCGGGACUGAGACACGGCCCGGACUCCUACGGGAGGCAGCAGUGGGGAAUAUUGGACAAUGGGGGCAACCCUGAUCCAGCCAUGCCGCGUGUGUGAAGAAGGCCUUUUGGUUGUAAAGCACUUUAAGCAGUGAAGAAGACUCCAUGGUUAAUACCCAUAGACGAUGACAUUAGCUGCAGAAUAAGCACCGGCUAACUCUGUGCCAGCAGCCGCGGUAAU